CAGCCGAAUCGGGAUUCGAUAGGGAGUGAUUUUUACUAAUCGGUGAGGAUGUAUUCCUCGUGAUCAACAAUACGCACGAUUUCCAAUAGUAGUUGACUCACACUGGCACAUUUGACUAUACAUAGACUCGGGAGUUCGUUCGUCACUAAAUCCAGCAUCGACCGAUCUUCGCAACAAGGACAUCAACACUGCAACAAUGAACCCAUCGCACCGUGGUUCACAACUACGGGUCGGUCAUUUCCGGUGUGCUUCGUGUUUAUUCGGAUGUCCACGUUUUGUGUGGUGCAGAGACGAUAUUCUGAGAGACCAAACUCUUCGACAUGCUGUCCUGAGAUGCGAAUGCCUCUGUACCGACUAACCAAAGAACGCAGCCGCCCAGCUUCGGCUCCAGCAACUGAGUUCGACAUUCUUGAACCACGUGCUUCUCAAAGCGGGUUACGAUACCGGUGCUGCGCUCCUGCAGAUGACAAUGCAUUUCUCCAACAUCUCCAACAGCAAAAAUACAUCGUCGGAAAAUACAAAUUGGAAAGUCUAAGUGGAAUCGAGUCUUCGAAUCAAGUUUGUGUAAACACGAGGCCGU